rnacentral:rRNA from 1 species
GGGGGGGAACUUCGGUUUCCCCUGUCUGAACCCUUGUCUUUUGCGUACUAUUUGUUUCCUCGGUGGGCUUGCCUGCCGAUAGGACAACCAUUAAACCUUUUGUAAUUGCAAUCAGCGUCAGAAAAACAUAAUAGUUACAACUUUCAACAACGGAUCUCUUGGUUCUGGCAUCGAUGAAGAACGCAGCGAAAUGCGAAAAGUAGUGUGAAUUGCAGAAUUCAGUGAAUCAUCGAAUCUUUGAACGCACAUUGCGCCCCUUGGUAUUCCAUGGGGCAUGCCUGUUCGAGCGUCAUUUGUACCUUCAAGCUCUGCUUGGUGUUGGGUGUUUGUCCCGCGAUUUUGCGUGGACUCGCCUCAAAGCAAUUGGCAGCCGGCGUACUAGCCUGGGAGCGCAGCACAUUUUGCGCAUCUCGUCUUGAACGCUUGCGUCCAUUAAGCCUAUACUUUAACUCUUGACCUCGGAUCAGGUAGGGAUACCCGCUGAACUUAAGCAUAUCAAUAAGCGGGGAAAAAA